ensembl:lncRNA
CUUAUUUUCCCCCAUUUUUGUUUUGUUUCGUUAUUUAUUUUUCAAUUCUUACAUUAUUCUUAUUACCAUAUCAUUUAUUUAUUGCUUGCAGGGGACUGGGGAUGAUGGUUGGGAAGGGGCAGACGCAGACACCUGGUUAGCAAGUUAAUGUUUUGUGCCUGUUCUGCCUUUGUCUAGCCGUGGGCCACUCUCCCGAUUAGAUUCCCACCAGCCCUCUGUAGUGCUUGUGUCUGUGUAGGUGUGCGUACAUAUAAUCAUUAUUUGUACUUUAUUAUUAUUUACUCUUAGCAUUUUAGUAUUAUGUACAUGUAUAUUUUAAAUCAGUGUAGAUUCUGGGGUAUGAAUGUUUGUGUACAGUAUGUAGAUGAAUGUAUGUAUGUAUGUGUAUAUAUGCAUAUGUAUGUAUGUGUAUAUGUGUCACGUUCUGACGUUAGUUAUUUUAUUAUGUCUUUGUUUCAGUAUGGUCAGGGUGUAAGUUGGGUGGGUUGUCUAUGUUAGUUUGUCUAUGAUUUUCUAUUUCUGUGUUUGGUCUGGUAUGGUUCUCAAUCAGAGGCAGCUGUCAAUCGUUGUCCCUGAUUGAGAACCAUAUUUAGGUAGCCUGUUUUCCAUUGUGUUUUGUGGGUGGUUGUUUCCUGUUUAGUGUUUUUGUUUCACCUUUCAGGACUGUUUGUUUGUCAUGUUUGUUGUUUUGUCUAGUGUUGCAUAUUUCAUUAAAUAAUAUGAACACUUACCAUGCUGCACCUUGGUCCUCCUCUCCUUCCCCAGACGACAAGCGUUACACACACACAUUGCGUGUAUAUACAUUUAUUUGUAAUAUAUAUUUUUAUAUGUAUUUUUUUUUGUAUGUGUGUGUGUGUGUGUGUGUGUUUUUGUGUGUGUGUGUGUGUGUGUGUGUGUGUGUGUGUGUGUGUGUGUGUGUGUGUGUGUGUAUAUGUAUGUACUUAUUUUUAUUUUUUUUCCUUUUUUUAAUCUUUAAGUUUUUAAUUAAAUUUUUUUUUAAAUAAUACAUUUUUAUUUUUUUUGAUUGGGGGGUACGUUUAACUUAGUCUAUGUCGGUUGCUAAUGUUUAGAUCGGCAUUGCUUAGCAAUAUAAUCUUGUGAUGCUUUAUCUUGCUUUUCUCAGGGAUUGACCCAAGAGGACGCUUAAGUGCGCAAUAUGUUUAAGUUGCAACUUAUUCUGUUUAGGUUUAUUAGAUGCUAACUGAACACUUUCGGAGCCUCCUCAGUCCAUAUGUUAGUAGAAGUUCUAGGAUAGUGAGAGGUGAACGUAUAGUUGGGAUUUUAUUUUUGUUUUACCUCAAGGUCGCGCCAUGCUUUUUUGGCAUCGGCCAGACAAUGUGUUUAUUAUUUUUAUUUUCUCAUUUUUCUCUCUCCUAUUUGUGUAUGCCUGUUAAAUGUGGGUUGAUGGGGGGGGGAUAGGGGAACAGGGUGGGAAGUAAAGGUGAUUGCUGGGGGGGAGGGGUUGGUUAGAUACUGCUCGGGUGUAGGUGCCACAUAUGCUGAUCGUGAUGGUUUAGUGCGCUUUCUUACCUUUUUAUUGAGUUACAUGUUAUGCAGGCCACCAUAGGAACUACAAACGAGAGGAGGGCGGGGCUUACAUUCAUUUCCUGUAAUGUCAAGGGUUUAAACGAACCAAUUAAGAGAGGCAAGGUCCUAGCCCACUUGAAAGCACUCUCGUCUGAUAUGAUAUUUUUGCAAGGGACCCAUCUGAAAAAUAAUUCUCAUAGCAGACUUAAAUGUCGGUGGGUGGGGCAAGUGUAUCACUAACUUCUCUGCCAAAACGAGAGGUACAGCGAUUCUGGUAUGGAAAGGAAUUCCCUUUCUACAUUAAACGACUAUUGCAGAUAAAGAGGGUCGGUAUGUGAUCGUGAUAGGAGAGAUCCACUCUACUUCAGUAACUCUACUAAAUAUCUGUGCCAAACAUUGAUAACCCCCUUUUUUCAAAAGAGUCCUUGCCCUGAUUACAUAUAUCUCCCAUACUAACCUGGUCAUUGGAGGGAACCUUAACUGUGUGCUAGACCAAUAUUUUGAUAGAUCCUCUACCCGGCAAACCCCUACCUCCUAUUCAAGCAAAUUCUUGAAUACCUACAUAAAAAAUUCGAACUUAUUUGAUAUAUGGAGGAUCGCUACCCCUACGGGUAGGGAAUACUCCUUUUACUCUCAUGUUCACAAUGUUUAUACUCGAAUUGACUACUUUUGUUGUUGAUGCUAAACUACUCCCCUAUACCUGUAAUGUGAGGUAUCAUGAUACUAUAAUCUCGGACCACAGUCCACUCACCUUCUCCCUGAGAUUGGGUGACAUCGUACCAAACGAGAGGGUCUGGAGGUUGAAUCCUCAGCUCCUCACAGAACCA